AAAACCUUAAAUGCAAACGGAGGACACAGAGUAUUUAAAAAAAAAAACGAAAGCGAGAAUUUCAGACAUCGUGGAUAUUAAAUUGCCCCUGGCUAUCUAUGGAAAUUUGGAAUUUAAAUUAAGUUUUUGUCUUAUUUAUAGAUGAAAGGUCAACAUUAUUUGUUGUCAAACUGGUAAAUAGAAGGGAAGCUUUAAUUGCACAUCAAGACAAUAAUAAAUAAUCAAGAAAAAAACCAAGUGUGUCAGUUGAGAGAAACACCACAAAAUCAAUAGUUUAUCUAUUAUUUAGUUUACAUUUCUUCAAUCACUGUCCUCAAAUUUAGUAUAU
rnacentral:lncRNA from 1 species